rnacentral:rRNA from 1 species
UUUCGAUGCAACGCGAAGAACCUUACCCUGGCCUUGACAUGCAAGUGGUAGAACCAUGAAAGUGGGACGACCCCGCAAGGGGAGCUUGCACAGGUGCUGCAUGGCUGUCGUCAGCUCGUGUCGUGAGAUGUUGGGUUAAGUCCCGCAACGAGCGCAACCCUUGCGUCCUGUUGCUAUCCCUGCGAGAGCAGGGAGCACUCUGGACGGACUGCCUCGCUUCAACGGGGAGGAAGGUGGGGAUGACGUCAAGUCAGUAUGGCCCUUACGGCCAGGGCUGCACACGUACUACAAUGCCCGGUACAAAGGGAUGCCAAACCGAAAGGUGGAGCAAAUCCCACAAAAGCCGGGCCCAGUUCAGAUUGAGGUCUGCAACUCGACCUCAUGAAGUUGGAAUCGCUAGUAAUGGCGCAUCAGCUACGGCGCCGUGAAUACGUUCCCAGGCCUUGUACACACCGCCCGUCACAUCAUGAAAGCCGGUUGUACCCGAAGUCGUCGUGCCAACUGCAAAGAGGCAGAUGCCGAAGGUAUGGCUGGUGAUUGGGAUGAAGUCGUAACAAGGUAACCGUAAG